AAAACAUCCCAGCAAGUCUCCCGUUCCCAAGUGACACAGCUCCAUUAUUCCAGAGUUGUGCCCUAACCUGCAGGCUUUGCUGGGCAGUGGAGGCAGCCCACAGCACAGGAGCCCGAACGCCGCAGCAGUGCAGCACUGAGCCGAGUGCAGGCUAAUUGCUGGAGUAUUUCCUUUGCUUUUGAUGGAUGUUUUAAAAACACCAGCCAGCGCUGGGGCUGAGAGAAACAGCACUGCAGCUCAGUCCGGCCUAGACAGGAUGUAGAAGACCUGCAUUGCUGGUGGCCUGUGUGAUCUGAGGAACAAACAUGGUGUGGGUGACACAAAGACAUAAGAAACAGUCCUGCAGCAUGGCUCCUGUUCCUUGGUCUGGAGACUACCCAAGGAAGUCACAGGAGUCAAUAGAGGCAGCUGUGCAGUGCACAAAGAGCAGCACCACUGCGGAAGGAGGGAUUCAGUCCAGGCAAGGAAGAGUUCAAAGUAAAGAGAUUCUCCAGAUGGUUGUGCUCGCUUGCUUGACAAGUGGGGCUGAGCAAAGCUUAAUAGCUACCAACACCAAGGAGGAAUUUUGUUUCCCAAAAUGCCAAUUCCAAGGAAAGAGAAAAAUAAAUAACACUGAAUGUCACUGUGUGAGAUCAUCUGGCAGAUGA
rnacentral:lncRNA from 1 species